GUAAUAAGGUGAAUUCAAACAACAUUUUUCUAAUGAUGUAAUCUAAUACUCUUUGUUAAUGUUUUCUCAAGGGUCAAAUGCUAAGCAGUAUGUUGUUUGGAAGCCACAAAAAAGCUCCAACAUGAGUGAUACAUGGGACCCAGGGUUUCAGACUUCAAGUGUGCAGCCCAGCUUCAUUUACUUCCUUGUUUAUGAAGUUGGUGUCAAGCCUACAGCAAUGCCUCAUGUUAGCCCAUCGUAUACAGUAAUAAUUAUUUGUACAGUCUCUCAAAAUGAGAAAUCUUGGGACCAAGGCUGUGCCGGAUUUCAGAUCUUCCAGUUCAGCUCAUGGGUGGUUUGAGCCAAGCCAGGUCCAGUGGGGUCAAGGGUUGCUUGGAACAGGAAUAGACUUGCGGGCAAGCAGUGAAGUGAAUAACCAGCCCAACACUACACCGUGCCAAUUUAGAGCCGAGGCAAAUUGUCCGGAGAUGCUACCAGACCUGCUGGGUAUGUCCAACACUUUCCAUCUCUAACUGAUGUAUGACUGCCCACCUGCACAGCCUAGAGACUUGUUGCUUUAACGCCAUUGGUAUGACCAGGACAAGAAGCAGAGGGACGACAACAAGAUAACAUGGCAGCUAGGAAUGUCGCCAACGUACAGUAAUUUUAUUAAGGAUUAAAACAAACAAGUCUGAUAUUUAUGCACAACAUUGUGUAAAGGGAAAGGCUGAUAGGAUGUGUGUAAAACCAGUUAAACCCGUUCUUUUUCUGCCAAGAGGAUUAUGGCUAUCUGCACUGAAAAACAUUGCUAUCACAAAGUAAUCACUUUAUCUUUAACAUAGGAAUUGUUUAGAAGGAACACCACAAAUAAAAGUGGCAC